AACAUAGAAGUAAAAUUACACUUAGUUUCGACCUAAAAUUUAAGGUUGAUAAAACCUUCAUGUUU
rnacentral:tRNA from 1 species